rnacentral:rRNA from 1 species
AGGUAGCGCCUCGUGAAUUCAUCUCCGGGGGUAGAGCACUGUUUCGGCUAGGGGGCCAUCCCGGCUUACCAACCCGAUGCAAACUGCGAAUACCGGAGAAUGUUAUCACGGGAGACACACGGCGGGUGCUAACGUCCGUCGUGAAGAGGGAAACAACCCAGACCGCCAGCUAAGGUCCCAAAGUCAUGGUUAAGUGGGAAACGAUGUGGGAAGGCCCAGACAGCCAGGAUGUUGGCUUAGAAGCAGCCAUCAUUUAAAGAAAGCGUAAUAGCUCACUGGUCGAGUCGGCCUGCGCGGAAGAUGUAACGGGGCUAAACCAUGCACCGAAGCUGCGGCAGCGACACUGUGUGUUGUUGGGUAGGGGAGCGUUCUGUAAGC